ensembl:lncRNA
GCAAAAAUGAAUCAAACUGCCUAGGAUUUGUAAGGCAAGCAUAGUAAUUGAUAUAGAAGUCAUCAACGUGGGCUGAAAUACAGCGCAAGAAGAAAUGGGAACAUUUGAAAACUAUAUUGGAAACAUUUGAAAACUGUAUUGAGAGUGAGGAGAUCUUGGCAGACUCGACAAUAUCAUUUUCCUUUGAGAAACAACACCGAGGUUUGGAAAUCCCAGAAGAUGUCUCAAGAUCAUAACACCCUUGAGAAAAUGAGCUCAUUUUUGUCUUGGCAGUGCACUCCUCUGUAUAUUUCCUUGGCCCUCAGGCGGACUUACAUCUGGAAAAAUAGCUCGAGUAGUUCGAGGCUUCACAUCCAUGCACCUUGUUGUUGGAAGAAGAGAGAGAUUCUUCCCAGCAUUCCAAACAAAAGUCCUGAAAUUCACCUUGAGUGGGUCAUAUCCUCCUCUUCCCAUCCCCCACCCCAGUCCCAACCAAAUAAUGAAAUGCCCACGGGAAGUGGAAUGUGCCAUUGCUUGGAUUAAACCAACUAUAGGCUCCAUCUGAAGCUUGAGAUGGGAUCAGCAUCCUCCAAAGUACUGGGGCUUAUGGUUGAGGCUGUCAUCCAGGUAAAGUCUGGAUGCUGCUAGUAAAGGGAAAGCAGGUAAUGAAAAUUCGUUAUGGAGCCAAGAAUGUCCACUCCACCAUCCCUAAGGCCCAGCUGAAGACCAUCUCUUUGACAAUGUCAGUUUCUACAAACACUGCCUUGACUUGCCUUAUGCUGUAUCUUUUAUGCAUGUAUGUCUUGCCUCCCAAAGUAGAUUAUAGGUUCCUUGAAGUCAGGGACAUUAAAUUCCUAUUCAGUACUGAGCUACAUACAGAGAACACUCAAUGAAUGAUAAAAUAGUUUCAUGGUAGAUUCAGCGCCAUAUAUUUGGAAAGUGGAACUAGGUGGUUGAAAGAAGUGGGGUGGGUGGAAAAGAGUAUCACAGCUCUUAGAACUGCACUUGGGAGAGAGUAACAAGUAAAGCAACGGAUCCCUAGGUGAAAUAACUGAGGCAGUUUCACUCCCUAAAAGGUGCCCACAGAAUCCCAUUUCUGCUUUCAGAAUGAGUUUAAGGCCAAUAGCUCUGUAAGCUCCAAUAGCUCUGUUUGAUUGUAUUUAUGCCUCCAGAAGUGGCUUUCUUAGCCUUGACAAUCUUAAUUUAAGUUUCUUAUUUCCUUUGGACCUUCCAAAGUGUUUUCCCUCAAGUGGCAUCUGGGAAAGCAUAUUCUAUUCAUUUAUUUGAUAACUGCUGCCUUGACCUCUUUAUUGCCUCCCUAACUAUUAGAACCCAAGAUGCUCUUGCAAACAGGACUUUUUAUUGACAGUCUUCGUCCUUUGCAAAUGGAAGUGAUGACAGAUCCACUACUUUGUAUAAAAAUAUUUUGCUAUUUCUAUACAAAAUAUUUUAUAAAUGGAAACCACACAUUAUGUAUUUUACCAAAAUGUUAUGACUUGAAAUUUGGGUAUCUAAUAUGGCUCUAGUAAUAAAUGCUUCACAGUGCAACUGUUGCUUUGAUUUGCAGCUGGCUGGCAUUUUAAUUUUUAAUUCACAUUUUUAAUUCAAAUAUGACUGAUCUGAAAUAUUAAGAAAAAUUCUCCUUGAAUCAUUGCACUUCAAAAGAAGAAAGCAAACCCAGCUGUCUGAUUAUGAUGCAAUGUUUUAUUUAUAAAUUGAGAUCAUUAGCAUUCAUCUAAUGCUUUUUUCUGUCCAUGAACUCCUUCUGUCCAUGUACUCCUAAUAAUGCUAAAUUAAAUGAAGAUGCUUUAUAAAGUUAAAUUUGCCAGAGCAACAUAAAGUAUAGAAGUGAGACCUAUGAACACGUUAAGGAAAAAAACUCAUUUCUAAAAACAGAUUCAAUAAACAAUAAGUAUGCAAAUAUCUACUGCAGUUUCUCUUUCUCAAACCUUAAAAAAUGCCUUCCUAGGUAAUAGUCC